AGUCUCGUCACGUGACUCGCGAGAUUUUAUGAUUUUUUUUCACUUCUGGGUACCUGACACAUGGAGUUGUGUAUUGAGUUAAGCGUGUUUCUGGUUUACACAAGGCUUUCGGGGGAAAGUUAAGUAGUUUUACAUCGCAGAAGGGUUCUCUGGCUUACGAUGGAUGAAUUGCGUGUCAGAAAAGCUUGGGUGCGAGUGUCCACCUGGAAAAAAAUCGAUCGAAGUACAGAUUUUUCUUGAAUUUGAGGACGAUAAUGUUAUUAUCAGCUGAUUAUAGAGGAGAAGUUUUGUCAGUGUCCGAUGGGUACAAACGUCAUAUUGUGGCUGCAUCACUUUUGUGUGGCAGAAGUACAAGAGAACCAGGCAGUAACACAGAUGAAAGAUGCGGUUGCUGAAAAAUCCAAAGUCAAGCACCUAAGACAUAACUGACUUUGAAAGAUCAGCCUUCUUAAAAAUGCAAAUCAAAUACAGGAUUUUGUCUGCAUAUCUGGAAAUCUUAGGACAUCACUGAUUUGAUCAAGAACUCAUCCAGCAUGAAGUUUAGCCAUGUGCCUCACCUGUCAUGACAAAAUUAAAGCACUUUGUGACAGUGGGAAGAUGGGAUUUAAAACAUGACAUGGCUCCAUAUUACUGCAUCAGAGACCAAUCCAGGUCAACUUAUAAAGUGAAGGAAAACAGUCAAGCAUCAAUUGGAGCCACAUGUACAUAUGUAACCGCCUUAACAACAUGUCUUCUUAUUUAAGAAAUCACAGUGACCAGUUGUACCUAUGAUGUUGGACGAGAUCAUGAUAAAAACUUUUGGUGCACUCAUCACUAUCUGCAAAGAAAUGAAAAUUUUAAAUGACUUGUAUCAACACUUUUGUACUACCGGUACAUCUGGCUUGUAUUUUCAGAUCGCGUUAGCCUUUAUUUACCUUCAAACAAAAUUUUAUAAGUACCAACCUGCAGGUGUAAAAUGUUUGAAACAAUUUGCUUGUCUCAAAAGGAAAUUCUAUGCCAUUUAGCAGUGUCGUGAGUACUAGACUGAGGUCACAAUUCCACCGGCAAAGAGUACAUCGGGUAUUUGUUGCUGAAUGGUGCCAUAUAAAACACUUUUCACAAGAACCUGGAAAAUGUAUUAAGUUGGAAGUGAACAUCUACACAAAAAAGUGAAUACUUUCUCAAAUAUUAACAAUUAUAUAUUAUGCCUGUGUACAUCCUAAAUAUAUAUAUAAAACUAAUUACACAAGUAAC